GGAACCAUAGUUUAAUGGCAGAACAUCCCGCUCAUAACGGGUAUGAGUAGGUUCGAUUCCUACUGGUUCUA
rnacentral:tRNA from 1 species